AUGUCUUCCUCCUCCGGCGCCGCCCAGUCCAAUCUCAAUGGGCAAGUCAUCGAGAAGCUUUCCCGCACGAACUACGUGAUGUGGCGCAUGCAGAUCACACUCCAACCGCGUGGCGCCGACGUCUUCGGCUUCAUCGACGGCACAUCACCGGAGCCAGCCAAGCUCCUCGCCGCCAAGGAGAAAGACGGCAAGGAGACGUUCGUGCCCAACCCUCUCCACCCUAUCUGGGUCCGGGAGGACCAGCAAGUGCUCGGCUACCUGCUGAGCAACCUCUCCAAGGAGGUGCUGGUCACGGUAACCACGGUCACCACGACGCAUGGGCUCUGGAUGACGCUGGCAGGCAUGUACUCGUCGUAGUCGCUGAGCCUCGUCAACAACAUUCGUACCUCCCUCAUCAACGCGCAGAAAGGUACUCAAUCUGCCGCCGCCUACUUCGCCUUCAUGCGUGGCCUCGCCGAUGAGCUGGCCACGGCCUUCAUGCGUGGUCUCGCCAAUGAACUCAUCUCCUACAUCCUCCACGGGCUGGAUCUGGAGUACCAGCCCCUGGUUUCGGCCCUCGACGCCCGUGUCUCACCCGCCUCCCUCGAUGAGAUCUUCGCCAUGCUCAGCAACUUUGACCAACGCAUG
rnacentral:rRNA from 1 species